UCGACAAGUACCGUAAACAGAAGCAGUCCCCCCUGGACAUGCGCCAUUUUUCAUAUUUCCAGGGGGGGGCUGCUUCUGUUUACGGUACUUGCCUA
rnacentral:miRNA from 1 species